GAUGAACGCUGGCGGCGUGCCUAAUACAUGCAAGUCGAGCGAACAGACGAGGAGCUUGCUCCUCUGACGUUAGCGGCGGACGGGUGAGUAACACGUGGGUAACCUACCUAUAAGACUGGGAUAACUUCGGGAAACCGGAGCUAAUACCGGAUAAUAUUUCGAACCGCAUGGUUCGAUAGUGAAAGAUGGCUUUGCUAUCACUUAUAGAUGGACCUGCGCCGUAUUAGCUAGUUGGUAAGGUAACGGCUUACCAAGGCAACGAUACGUAGCCGACCUGAGAGGGUGAUCGGCCACACUGGAGCUGAGACACGGUCCAGACUCCUACGGGAGGCAGCAGUAGGGAAUCUUCCGCAAUGGGCGAAAGCCUGACGGAGCAACGCCGCGUGAGUGAUGAAGGUCUUCGGAUCGUAAAACUCUGUUAUUAGGGAAGAACAAACGUGUAAGUAACUAUGCACGUCUUGACGGUACCUAAUCAGAAAGCCACGGCUAACUACGUG
rnacentral:rRNA from 1 species